AGUUGGGCUGCUGGAGUGCGGCGCCACCGCGGAGGACAGGGGCAGCUGGCGGGCAGCGGGUGAGGGGGUGGCGGGGACGCGAGUGGCGGCCGCGGGGCCCCGGACAAGGGUCCGCAGAGCUGCAGCCUUCGAGGGCCAGCCCUCUCCGAGUCCGGGGCUGGGUCCCACCAGUGACAAGGCGGCAGCCCCGCGCACACCAAAGAGAAGGCGGCUGUGGCGGCAGCGGCAGCCCCAGCCAUGCUGUGUUAUGUGACGAGGCCGGACGCGGUGCUGAUGGAGGUGGAGGUGGAGGCGAAAGCCAACGGCGAGGACUGCCUCAACCAGGUGUGCAGGCGACUGGGAAUCAUAGAAGUUGACUAUUUUGGACUGCAGUUUACGGGUAGCAAAGGUGAAAGUUUAUGGCUAAACCUGAGAAACCGGAUCUCCCAGCAGAUGGAUGGGCUAGCCCCUUACAGGCUUAAACUUAGAGUCAAGUUCUUCGUGGAGCCUCAUCUCAUCUUACAGGAGCAGACUAGGCAUAUCUUUUUCUUGCACAUCAAGGAGGCCCUCUUGGCAGGCCACCUCUUGUGUUCCCCAGAGCAGGCAGUGGAACUCAGUGCCCUCCUGGCCCAGACCAAGUUUGGAGACUACAACCAGAACACUGCCAAGUAUAACUAUGAGGAGCUCUGUGCCAAGGAGCUCUCCUCUGCCACCUUGAACAGCAUUGUUGCAAAACAUAAGGAGUUGGAGGGGACCAGCCAGGCUUCAGCUGAAUACCAAGUUUUGCAGAUUGUGUCGGCAAUGGAAAACUAUGGCAUAGAAUGGCAUUCUGUGCGGGAUAGCGAAGGGCAGAAACUGCUCAUUGGGGUUGGACCUGAAGGAAUCUCAAUUUGUAAAGAUGACUUUAGCCCAAUUAAUAGGAUAGCUUAUCCUGUGGUGCAGAUGGCCACCCAGUCAGGAAAGAAUGUAUAUUUGACGGUCACCAAGGAAUCUGGGAACAGCAUCGUGCUCUUGUUUAAAAUGAUCAGCACCAGGGCGGCCAGCGGGCUCUACCGAGCGAUAACAGAGACGCACGCAUUCUACAGGUGUGACACAGUGACCAGCGCCGUGAUGAUGCAGUAUAGCCGUGACUUGAAGGGCCACUUGGCAUCUCUGUUUCUGAAUGAAAACAUUAACCUUGGCAAGAAAUAUGUCUUUGAUAUUAAAAGAACAUCAAAGGAGGUGUAUGACCAUGCCAGGAGGGCUCUGUACAAUGCUGGCGUUGUGGACCUCGUUUCAAGAAACAACCAGAGCCCUUCACACUCGCCUCUGAAGUCCUCAGAAAGCAGCAUGAACUGCAGCAGCUGCGAGGGCCUCAGCUGCCAGCAGACCCGGGUGCUGCAGGAGAAGCUACGCAAGCUGAAGGAAGCCAUGCUGUGCAUGGUGUGCUGCGAGGAGGAGAUCAACUCCACCUUCUGUCCCUGUGGCCACACUGUGUGCUGUGAGAGCUGCGCCGCCCAGCUACAGGAUGAGCUCGAAUGCAACGCUGGGAAGUUCUGGGGGGAAGUGUCCCCUUAACUCUGCCAUUGAACACCAAGGAUCAGACGCCCCACAGGAGAGCACGCAUGGGUAAAAGCAUGAGCUCUUCCAAGAACAAUAUGAGAAAAAAGGUAUGCCCCGUAGAACAGGUGUGGGGAAAUUUCCAAACACAUGCAUUAGAAAAAGUGCAGCGGUGGCUCACGCCUGUAACCCCAGCACUUUGGGAGGCCGAGGCGGGUGGAUCACGAGGUCGGGAGAUCAAGACCAUCCUGGCUAACACAGUGAAACCCCAUCUCUGCUAAAAAAAAAAAAAUACAAAAAAUCAGCCAGGCACGGUAGCGGGUGCCUGCAGUCCCAGCUACUCAGGAGGCUGAGGCAGGAGAAUGGUGUGAACCCAGGAGGCAGAGCUUGCAGUGAGCCGAGAUCGCGCCACUGCACUUUGGACUGGGCGACAGAGUGAGACUCCAUCUCAAAAAAAAAAAGAAAAAAGAAAAAGAAAAAGUGCAUGCACACGUCACCACGUUUGCAUGUGCGCCUGAAGGAGGGGUCCAAGGGAUAUUUGUGUGUUUGGAGAGCCUAAAAUAAAUUAGGAAGGUUGAAGUUUUUAAUACCAUCUGACCAAGCAAUGGGGAAAAGUACCUAAGUGGAGUUUAAGCACCAUCUGAAUUUCAGACAAAAACACAAUCAUUCUUGUCUUUUUCACUGCUUUUCACAUUUAGUGUCUUCUCAUAGAAAUUCCAAAACAUUGCAGAUUACUUAUAUUCAUAUCUGUAGAGUCUUCUUGAAAUUCAUUUAUUCAAAAACUGCAGGAUAUUAAAGAGUUAGCCCUAUGCCUCUUAAAAACAAAACUAUGUCAGGACCACACAAAUGAUACAGAUUGAACAGACCUGCCGGUUGCUUAGAGAAAAAAUACACUUUAAGCAAAAGCUAAACAUCUGUUGUUCAUAAAGCUUGCCAUAGUGCUAAGGGCAAGAAAAACUUAAAGGGGGAAGCUCUUUUUUCUAUCAAGGAGUGAUUCUUCUAGUUGAGAAGAAGGUAUCUAUAUGAAACAAAAAGAUAAGCAGUUCUAAAACCACACAUAAUGAAUAUGUAGAUAUAUGUAUAUUACAUAUGUAUUCUUGUAUGAAUGGAUGCCAGUGAAUGGAGGAGGACUUCUUAAAGUGGGUAAGUUGUUCUUUGUCUUGAAGUAAGUACAGGAUUUGGAUUGAUGGAAAGGGAAAGCAUGAGAAUGCAAAAGAGCCCACAGACGAGGAGCAAAGGGUACAAGAGAGGACAGAAGUAGAGCCAGUUCAUGAAGAGACAUGACUGCUGGAAUAAAAAUUUCAGCUUUGCUUUGAUACGUAUGUGAAAGCUACAGUAAGGAGUUUAUACGUUUGAUUCAUUUGGCCUUUUAUUCCUUAACUUGGGCAUUGAUUUAUUAAUUCAGCAAGUGCACAUUACAUACCUAGAAUAUAUCAGGCUCUCCGUUAGGGCUAGGGCAGUGGUUCUGGUUCAGGGGCAAUAUUGGCCCCCAGGAAGCACUGAGCAAUGUCUGGAGAUGUUCUUCAAGGGUCACAAUGCGGGUAGGUGACUACUGGCAUUUAGUGGGUAGAGGGCCCAAAUGCUGCCAAACCUCCUAAAAUGUACAGUAUAACACCCCCUACAGCAAAGAAUAUUGACAUUUCUGGCCCAAAACAUCAGUAUUGCUGCUGUUGAGAAACCCUGGGCUGCAUGGUACAGAUAUCUGAGAUGUAGUUCUUGCCUGCUCUGGGAUUCCAAGGGCAGUGGAAGCUGUAAACUAAUAAUUCCACUCUACUAAGUUCUACAAUCAAAGCAGGUAUCAGGUGCUGUGGAAGAGCAGAAGAUUUGCCACUCACUUUGCUUCAGGUUGGAAGGUUUUCUGGAGGAAGGUUGCAUUGGAGAGGAGUCUUGGAAGGUGAGCCAGAGCUUGCCAGGUAGGGAAGGUGGGUGGAAGGAGCCAGUUCAAAAAUGUAGCAUAUUUGGGGACCAGUGGGCAGUUUGGCAUGACUGAAAUACAGGGUAUGUGGUUGGAUGGGUUGGGAUGAAAUAAUGGGAGAUGGGGUUGGGGAGUUAGGUUGGAAUCUUAUCCAGGAAGGUGCUAGAGGCCCUGGUAACCCCUACUCCCAGCCCUACUGAUAAGGUCAGUGUCCACAAAGAUCAUAAAAGGGAAUCAAGAAGUGCUGGGUUCCUCAGUUCUGUUCACUGCACUCUUUUCUCUUGUCCAUAGAUCUUACUUCCUAGCCUGGGCUCUGCCAAGCAUGUGUCCUCUGAGUUUUUAGUAAAGGUAAUAGCAAAAUAAAACCAUUGCUAGUAAUGUGCCCUAGAGAUGGGAGCUGUCAGGUAAUCAUUUAGAAUUUAAAAGCUCGUCUCCACAUUCCUUCAGAUGAAGAAAACGGUAGGAUAAAAAUAUAGCACAGCUUAUUAGUAACAUCUUACCCAUUUUUUCCCUAAAUGGUUAGAACAUGCUGCCUUUCCCUGCUCUUUACAUCAGCGUUUCCGUUAUUAAAGCUAUUUUUCAGUUCUAAAUCCUAGGAGGAUUUUCCCCAUGAAUUUAACAUGACUGAGGAAACUUGCUCCAGGGUAAAACUUUGCUGCAAAUUAUCUGAGAUAGGCUUCUUAAUAAAGAGAGGAAAAAUGAAUCAUAGCCUUGUAGUAGUUUCAAAUGUGGAGUUACCUUUCUCCUUCAUCCCCACUAUCAUGAUUAUUCAUAAUAGACAUGGGCCAGCUUUAUAAAUAAUUACACACAACAAAAGUCCUUUGUGUUCAACACUGGAGGCUGCUGCUGAUGCGGGCCAGGAGAGUGUGUGUGCCAGAGUUAGGGGAGAGAGCGCGAGAGCCAGGCAAAGCUGCUGUGUCUAAACUUCUCAAAAGGUCAUCCCUACAUAUGAGGUGUGACACCCCUAGACUCAGGCAGCACGUUUUGAAAUGGGACUCGGGUUACCUGUUCAAGCUGAAGUCCCUACAAAUGUAUAGCCAUGACUUUCCUGGUCUUUAGAUAUUAUAUAGGCUCUUCUAAAUGCAAGUGUAACUUACACAAAUGAACAAUUAUACUGGAAAAGGAAACUAUUAAAGCAGCUUAUAAAUCCCUCCCAGCACCCUCUCUUCUCCUCCCUUGCUGCAGGACAAAGGGUAAGCCAUACCCCUAUGCUUUUGUCUGUGGGAGCCAUGAACCCCACCUCUACUUCAGUAAUAGAUGCUAAAGAGCUUUUCCCUCUUCAUAUCACCUCUAUGUUUGAAAGCUCUUUCUCCUUUUAAAAAAAUUAAUUUUUCUUUUUUUUAAGGAGAUGGAGGAGUCUUGCUAUGUUGUCCAAGCUGGCCUCAAACUCCCAGACCUCAGCGUCUCGAAUAGUUGCGACUACAGGAACAUGCCAUCUUUCUCCUUUUAAGAAGAAGCCAUGCCUCCCCUCUCCCCUCUGGAGUGACUAGAGCCUCUCGCUCUGGUUGCUGUGUUCCGAAUCAUCCUUCUGGUAAUACACCCGUGAAAUACACCCAGACCUUCAGCCUUCAUGCCAAGCCUGCUGUCACAUCUAUUACUGGACCUACAGCUUCAGAUGGGUGCCCACAAUUAUCCUGAUCGGCUGUGCCUUCUCCUGCUGCUGCCUCCCAAACUGCGAAGAUGACCUCCCGGACAACCUCAGACCAAGUACUUACAUACAUCACCUCAAGUGGGGAAUGAGAGAGGAGGAAAAUUGCUGGUGGGAAGAUGGAUUUGGAGGAAGGAACUAGUUGCAAUCCAUCAGAAGCCAUGCUAUACGAUUAGAGCCCAGUUAAACUUGAGAUGAAAAUAUCAAGCCGUUUUUAAUCCUCAGGCUGUUUUCUUCAGGCUGCUUUGAACCUAUUUUUUGGCAGUCGAUAUUACUAAACUAGUCGAAAAUGCUAGCACAAUUUGGGAGAAAAUAUUUCUUAAAUACUGUUAGAGUUUCAUGUUCAUUUUUGAUUUACGUUUUGUGAAGUUAAACACCACUCAUUACCUAUAUUUGACAAUAUUUCCUUAUAUUAUCCGUACAAUUUAUACCACAUUUGUAAAAGAAUAUGAAUAUGAAACUUACCCCUUUAUAUAGUAAAAAUGAGAAGGCUUUCAAGAUUUAAUAAUCUGAUCAAAUUUUUGUUUUUACUAGAUGGAAUGGACUGUCUAUUAAGGGCUAAGAAAAGGGAGAUAUUGGUAAAAAUUGUCAGUUACCAAACAUUCCAAAAAAAUGCAAGAAGAUAAACAUUUUUGCAAGCCUUCAGAUAUUUAAAGAAGCAAAAUAGUUUCCUACAGGCAUAAUAUUUGUGAGAAUUUGUAAUUACUAUCCUGAAUAAUUGAUUUUUUGCUAAGCUUCACAUUAACUUGAGGCAUCACCUAGGAACGUAUUCUUUCAUGGCCAAGGCCUGUGUGGUAGUGAGGCCUCCUUAAGAAGUAAAAUGUGAAAAUGAAAUUUCCUCUUUUGAAGUGGUUUAUGGGGUGAGGAUGUGGGAAAAUGCUAUAUUAAUAAAUUCGUACUGUUUUAUGUCUAUAUGUUCAGGCUCAGAGCAGACCAGACUGAAAGAUGGACUGGGUCUAAUUCAUCAUGAUGAUAGAUUUGAUUAGAUUGUGUAGUGAAGCAUUAGAAGGGCCAUUCCUAUCACAAAAAACACCAUUCCAACAGCCUAGGAGUAAGAAAUGGCUUGACUUUUGUUUUCAUCUCAGGUUUAACUAGGCUCUAAUUAUAUAAAUACAGCUUCUGAUAGAUUGCAACUGUAAGCAAAAACCAACAUAUAGUUAAAAAUGUGGUCUUCCUUGGUAAAUAGAUCCAAAAUGUCUAAUGUAAAACAUGCAGCAGCAGAUUUAAGGAAUGUGAGUUUCUCUCAAUGGCAUAUAUAUGAUAUAUCCAGAGGAUUUUUAUAUUGUUUGUACUUAUAUAAUGAAAUUCAUUUUACUGCCGGGCAUGGUGGCUCAUGCCUAUAAUCCCGGCACUUUGGAGGGCCGAGGUGGGAGGAUUGCUUGAGUCCAGGAGUUCUAGACCAGCCUGGGUAACACAGUGUGACCUCAACUCUAAAAAAAAAAAAAAAAAAAAGAAAUUCAUUUUAUAUAUUGAAUCAUUAUUUUGUAAGUUGUGAAAUAAGCAAUUGCAGUUUUCAUUAUGAUUUUUCCCCAGUAACCAGGUAUUCUAAUUUUUAAAAAGAGCUAGAGGGCAGGGAUUCAGAAAGAUGACACGCCCUCUGCUUUUCCGGCUUUUGGCAUUGUGUGAGGAUGUAAUGCAUGGAGCUGCUAAUGCAAGCUUGUGAAGAUGAGGGGUGCUAGCGCAUAUGAUGAGGAUGGCAGACCUGAUAGGUGGAAAGAUCUAGGUCAUCCUGACAACAUUAAGCAGCUGAACUCACUGAUCCCAGAGCCUCAGGCCACCCCACCCAGCCCUUACCAUCUCCUGUCCUACUGCCAUGGGAGGUAAUACACUUUUUCCUUAUUGUUGAAGCUGCUUUAUUUGAUUUUCCUAUUACCUGCAGCCAAAAGCAUUGUGAUUAAUACACUGGUCUCGUGCUGCUGGAAAUGAAUCAUGCCUCCUGUAGGGUUGUAUCCAACAACAGACACAUGGCAGGUGUCUGUUAUACCAUCCACAAGAUACAAUGUGUUUGUUUUGCAGAAAUUGUCUCUAUCACCUGUGGGCUUUUGCUACCCAUAGAGCUACUUGUACCUAAUUCAACCAAUAAAAAUAAUGCUAGAAACUGAAGCCAACAAAGCUGUCAAAAUUUGUCUUGGGUUCUUGGGUUAGACAACUUGUUGAGAUUUUAUAAUACAUUUCCUUUUCUCUCCUCUUUUUCUAGGUUCUUUCCUGCUGGAUGCGAAACACUCAAUUAUCACUUCCUCAUGUGUGUAGUCUCCCUCACUGAGUCAGCUCUCACUGGGGCCUUCCCAUGACUUGUUUGUUGUCUUUAUCUGUCUGAAGCCUCAUCUUCCUUUGACAUUUAUCUUCAUCUGGAAAUUCUAUAAUCUUCCUUUUCCUCUUGUCUUGAUCUUACAUAAAAUCAACAUUGUCCAUUGAAAGUUAUGUUUAAGAAGCAUUGUUAACAAAACUAUCAUGAAGUCCCUUGUACCUUGUUAAAAACCACUGUAUUCAUAACUUUGUUGUUUUUUUCAAAUAUAUUUUUCUCUGGAUUGAAA